rnacentral:rRNA from 1 species
GAUGAACGCUGACAGAAUGCUUAACACAUGCAAGUCUACUUGAAUUUGGGUUUUUUAACUUAGAUUUGGGUGGCGGACGGGUGAGUAACGCGUAAAGAACUUGCCUCACAGCUAGGGACAACAUUUGGAAACGAAUGCUAAUACCUGAUAUUAUGAUUAUAAGGCAUCUUAGAAUUAUGAAAGCUAUAUGCGCUGUGAGAGAGCUUUGCGUCCCAUUAGCUAGUUGGAGAGGUAACGGCUCACCAAGGCGAUGAUGGGUAGCCGGCCUGAGAGGGUGAACGGCCACAAGGGGACUGAGACACGGCCCCUACUCCUACGGGAGGCAGCAGUGGGGAAUAUUGGACAAUGGACCAAGAGUCUGAUCCAGCAAUUCUGUGUGCACGAUGACGUUUUUCGGAAUGUAAAGUGCUUUCAGUUGGGAAGAAAAAAAUGACGGUACCAACAGAAGAAGUGACGGCUAAAUACGUG